rnacentral:rRNA from 1 species
AGAGUUUGAUCAUGGCUCAGAACGAACGCUGGCGGCAUGCCUAACACAUGCAAGUCGAACGUGAUCCGGGCUUCGGCCUGGUGAAAGUGGCAGACGGGUGAGUAACGCGUGGGAACCUGCCCUGUGGUAGGGAAUAACUGCGGGAAACUGCGGCUAAUACCCUAUAAGCCUGAGGGAGAAAGAUUUAUCGCCAUAGGAGG